rnacentral:lncRNA from 1 species
AAAGGAAGUUGGAUAAUGAGUUUUGUGAUGUUACGAUUUGAUUAGAUUUGUAUUGAUUCCUAAUUUGAUUAGAAUUAAUAUUUAAAUUUAUUGGAGAUAAAUUAAGAAUUAAAUAUUAAUUAGAAUAGAAAACUAAUUGGACUAGAAUUUUGGUAGCUUUUGAUGUAAGCUAUAAAUAUAGCAUAGUUGCUAUUAUUUUGAUGAUGGUGAUACGGAUUAGUCACACCAAUAUGACAUGGUCAAGAUGGUCAUGAUUUUAGAUGUACCUAGUGCAUGGGUGCAAGAGAACGUUUGCGGCUUUCUUAGCCAUGGAUCAUUGGUAUACCUUAUGCAUGAAUGCACAUGAUGAUAGAGAGAUCUUCUUAUAGGUUAUAGAAAAUGGGAGAAGAAUAGAAGAGAUUCAAAAGGAGGGCUCAGAUUGUAGCUACUCUGUAAAGAAGAUGAGUCAAGUGUAACAUUCUCGCAUAUUUUCUGUUUGAUUGUUUUCUCUCUUUUAUGAUUGUAUCAACUUUUAUUGGGGAGACAGGUUUAUAGUAAAAAUCUGAUUUGACGCUUCCAUUACAGAAUCCCAACAUCCGAUACUGCAUCAACAGCAGUCGGUAUCGGAGCGGGUUGUAAAUUCACAAAAUCUGAUAUC